UUCCCUCCGUCUCACGCUGUUCGUGAGUCGCUUGCUUCACAUGGUACGGUUGAGUGCAGCGCAGGAGAUUCCUUCGGAAAGCGGGAGGAUCGCCACAGAUAACUCGAUCGGAUCACAUUCCACUUUGGAGAUAUUCCCCAAUCGGUGCUCGGCAUUAGGCGAGCCAUUUUCCCCUUCUUUUCAUGAAAGAAUUAAUGCGAUGGAACUGUAAGAUGCUAACAUUAGGCGACCAAGGCUUCCCGAUUUGGCGUACCGAAGCAGGGGGCCGUGAAGCAGAAGCAACUCCCACCUGCUGCCGCUUUAGCAAAAGCGCAACGCGGUCAUGUUCUCGUAAACAAAACAUCAAACACCUGUCGCGCGUUAGGUAAAGGCGCAGGGCAGUCGUGUCUUCGUCAGCAGCAAAUCAACAAACACUUGUCGCGCAUGGCGAUACGGUGGUGGAUCAGAUGCAAGUCUUCUGUUGCGUUCUCCUGGAAUAAAGGACAAGUCUUUGAUGAUACUUUCCAUGGAAUUCGGCCUCCAAAGCUUCAUCGAGACUCUUAGGGUUUCAAUAUGGCACCAUCAACACUCUUUCCGUAUGGUCACGAUUAUGGCGUCAUCAUAUGAUGGAUCCAUGUGAUUCUUUCCUAAGCACAGACGGUAAGCAAAGUAUAAGCAGGAUUAAGAAUCAUUUCAUGCAAGUGGUAGUAACAUUUACUACUUGUGUUUGGUGGUUUGUGACACAUGUAAAGGUUACCAUCACAAAUUAUCCAAGUAUCUUAAUUUGAA